rnacentral:rRNA from 1 species
UACGUAGGGACCAAGCGUUGUCCGGAAUCAUUGGGCGUAAAGAGCGUGUAGGCGGCUUGUUAAGUCUUGCGUGAAAUCUCGGGGCUCAACCCCGAGCGGUCGUGAGAAACUGGCAGGCUAGAGUGCGGGAGAGGAGAGUGGAAUUCCUGGUGUAGCGGUGAAAUGCGUAGAGAUCAGGAAGAACACCGGUGGCGAAAGCGCUCUGCUAGGCCGCAACUGACACUGAGGGACGAAAGCUAGGGGAGCGAAUGGG